rnacentral:rRNA from 1 species
GACGAACGCUGGCGGCGUGCUUAACACAUGCCAGUCGAACGGAAAGGCCCUGCUUUUGUGGGGUUUUCGCGUGGCAAACGGGUGGGAAACCCGUGAGUAUCCUUCCUUUUCCUUUGGGAUACCUUCAGAAAACUGUGCCUAAUACCUACUAGCAGCUCCUGCUCCUUGUGGGGGUUUGGAAAUUUUGGGCGGUUGGGGAUGGACUCGCGGGUUAUCAGCUUGUUGGUGGGGUGGUGGCUUACCAAGGCUUUGAUGGGUAGCCGGCCUGAGAGGGUGAACGGCCACAUGGGGACUGAGAUACGGCCCAGACGCCUACGGGAGGCAGCAGUGGGGAAUAUUGCACAAUGGGCGGAAGCCUGAUGCAGCAACGCCGCGUGCGGGAUGACGGCCUUCGGGUUGUAAACCGCUUUCGCCUGUGACGAAGCGUGAGUGACGGUAAUGGGUAAAGAAGCACCGGCUAACUACGUG